rnacentral:misc_RNA from 1 species
GUAACACUGGCUAUGGUAGUAUCCAGUGAUGAUAGUAGCGCGAUGUCUAAUUUGUCAGUGGGAUUUGAUAAUCCGUAGUGUUUAUAUUGACAUUGUUUGUUGUGAUAGGUGGUGGGUAGAAUUAUCUGUAAAGUUACAAUGAGCAGAUAUUCAAGUGACUCAAACUCUAGUCGAGGAGAAGAUCAUUAUCGGAAGAAAAAAAAGUCAAAUAGAAGUGGAGGAAGGUCAAGAAGCUGUUCAUACUCCAGCAGUGACAGUAGUUAUUCUAAACGGCACUCACGAAAGCACAAGAAGGGAAAACAUCACCACUCUCAUAGUAGGGAUCAUUAUGGCAAAAGAAUGCUCAAUGACCAGUCACACUCAAAAAAUAGGACCCAUAGCAGGCGAUCCAGAGAGAGAUCAAGGUCACUAUCAAGAGAGAGAUCACAUGACCGUAUAAUAUCCAGAUCUAAAAAGAAGGUUAAAAGGCAUUCUAGGUCCCGAUCUCCAUCAAAGUCCAGACACAGAUAUAGAUCUUACUCGAGAUCACUAUCGAAAGACAAAUCGAGAUCACGUUCACGUUCCGUACAGAGAUCUCUGUCACAGAGUUCGAGAGACUCCCAGCUGUAUACUAAAAUGAAGACAGAGAAACAAGAUCAAAAAGAAAUCAGUGAAGUUAAUGAAGGACAGAAAGAAAAUGGAAAAAGUUUGAAAGAGCAAAUUACAGAAAGUGCAGAAAAGAUUCUCGGGAUUACUGUUACAGGAAUCACUUCUCUGGGACCAUCACAAAGUGUUUUGGACAAAUUGAAUAGUCCUGGAUUUGAGCAGAGAUCAUUUGUAUCAACAAAAUCUGCUGGGAGAAUAGCGGAUAAAGCACUGGAAGUUGAAGUAGAAGCACCUGCUCCACCACUGUUAACAAAUGAUGAUGAUCCAAAAAGUAUAUUUCACUCAAGAACAAAUUUCCUCUGCCUAAAAUUCUGCAACCUGGAACUUUUGGACUCCACCAGCACAUAACUUGUGGCAUCCUACUUGUUUAAUCAUGAUGUCAUGAAAAAUCCUUACAGAAGUCUACGUUAUUUUCAGAUCAGCAACGAAUGGAAAAAUGGAUUAAGAAGUUGUUCCACCUCCGCCAAAAAGCUGUAAAUGGUGAACCUAUUAUUUAGUUACUGUUCAUUACUGUUAUAUGAUUUUUAUUUUCUGAAAUUGGAAACUACAGUUUUAUAUUGUAAAGUAACAUGGAUGUUAUUCUAAAAGUAUAUAAACAACAAGAGUUCAACAUGUAAACUAUUAUCUGCAAAUAAAAUACAUUUAAACUCUUUA